rnacentral:tRNA from 1 species
ACCUGGAUGGCUCAGUCGGUUGAGCAUCUGACUCUUGAUUUUGGCUCAGGUCAUGAUCUCAGGGUCAUGGGAUCCAGCCCCAUGUCAGGUU